AAUUAAUUAGCGAAACGGCGGUUUUAAGAUUAGACAAAAAAACUGAUCAAAGAUUAUCGUUUAUCACUAUUUUAUGCCAUUUAGCUGGUUAAUAGGCUGAACACUGAUAAACAACUCAAACCAUAAUUAUUUUUCCUUAUUGAAUGCUAAUUCCUAUUCUUCUCUUCCCUUUCACUUUUAGCUGACGAAUUGCUUGGAAUGACCAUUUAAAGUAUACCUUGAAAAAUUGCGAUUAAAAGAUGACAAUGAUUAAAGGUUGAUAUAAAGAUGGGAAGAGGCUUAUUCGGUACAACACUGGCUGUUCAGGUACAAUUACUUACAACAAUCGGAAUAAGCCGAUAAAUAUGAUUAAAUUAUUUACCAUAAAGAUUAAAAGGAAUGACAAGAGGACGAAGAAAAUAUUUGACUUUAAACAACUUAAAGGAGAUUGGUAGAGUGUCGGAAAGGAAGGCAACUUUACCUGUUGAUCCUUUUAAGAAAUGGCCUGAGGCUGGAUUUUUUGGUUAAACUGAAUUGCGAAAGAAGUUGAACGCAAAAAAAAGGAAGAAAUUGAAAGAUGGAAAAAUGAAAACGAUGCUUUUAGAGAGGAGCUAAAGAGGUAAAUGGUCUUUUACCCGAAACAUGGUUAUCACCCUUGCAAGACCAAGACUGGCCUCAGAUGGAAAGUGAAUGAACAGUCCCAAGUGAAUAUAUUAUAUGGUCAACAAGAAUUCUGGUUUGCUGAUGACUUUCAUCAAAAGUAUUACCAGAUUAUUAUGGAAAGUAAACCCAAAACACUAAAACCAGUUGUAAGCAACACUUAAAUGAAUCUAUUUUGUCUCUCAUUUUCAUGAAGAAGAUACUGAUGAUGCUGAUGAUAAUAACGAUUAAUCAGUAAACUCAUGGAAAAAUGCUGGAGAAAAAAAUUCCAUGGUUUCUCUUUCAUCUUGUUUGCAAGUAUUUUAAUGCAAAGGGAAAAAUAUAAAGACCAUUGGAUGGAAAGGAACAUAUUGUGAUUAAAUUUAUGUUGGGAUUUCCCAGGUUUAUCAAGCUUGAUUAACAUCAUCAACAUCGUCAUUUUAAAACAUCUUCAUGGAUAGUUCUUGGAGAGAUGCUGAAAUGGAAGGUGCAAAACUGUUUAAAUCAAUGGAAGGAAAAAUUAAUGAAAAAAAGGAACAAAAAUAUUUCUUUUUUUCUUGGAAAGCCUCAAAGUACAAUAUGAACUUGAAAAGAUUGGUGCAAAUGGAGACAAUAAUAAUUGGCAUUUUCUCAUCACAAUCAAUUGAAGGAAGAAAUUUGAUUAAAAUAAUUGUUAAAUUUCCUCCUUGAACUUGUCAGAUAAACUUAAAUUUGGAAAAGGCUGACAAUUCUGAAAAUAUAUAUUUUCUCUCUCUUUCCUUUGCCAACCUGCUUUAAACAAUGUUACUGUUGUCAAAAUAUAAUUGGUGUUGAUGAUGAUAAUAAUAAUGAUAGCAAUAAGCAUAAUGACUAUGACAAUGGUAAUGAUAAGGAAUUUAAAUUUACCUGUUGAACUGGCGGAUUUGGGUUAAACACAUUCACAGCAAUGAAGACACUUGAACACAUUAAAUGGUGUUAAAUAUGAUCAUCUCUUUCCUCCUCCUGUCAUCUAUUCAAUAUUAACAACGAAACUUGCUUUUAAUCAAUGGCUCUGGUUGAUGAAUUUAGGUUCAAUUUGCUUCAAUUGUCUGUAAACAUGGAUCUUGAUUGAACAAGAAUCUGUAACCAAUAAUAUUACCACUAAUCCAGUGGUCAGUUGAUCAGAAUUGAUAAAAUUUUAAACGUUGAUUCUAUUUAUAAGAAGCUCUUCCCAACGGCCAUUUACUGAUUACCUUUUUCUUCCUUAAUUUCAUCAAGAAUUAUCAUCAUCACUUUCCCGAAGUAAAGCAUUAAAAUAUUUUUAUAUAAAUAAAUAUAAUAGUUGAGGUUAAUCCAGGAGUCCGUUGAUCCUUUAACGGUUUAGCUUCAAGGAAAAAUGUUGAACAUUAAAAGAUGUGAUAAAGAAUCAAAUGAACCAAAUGAUAUGAACAUGAAAAAAAGGUAACAAAAGGUAAACAAAUUGGACACCUUUUUAUGAUUUUAAUAUCACAAUAUAAAAGUCACCAAUAGUCAAACAAUUUAUGUAAAAAUUUAGUCUAAUGUUUCAUUUUAAUCAUUGAUUGUUUCACUUUCAUUCACUUUCAGUUGAAAUGAUUUGUGAAGUACAAUGUGAUGUUGAUUGAAAUCAUUCAUCAAA